CGUGUAGGCGGCCUAUCAAGUCGGGUGUGAAAUCCUCUGGCUCAACCAGAGAACUGCACUCGAUACUGCUAGGCUUGAGUAUAGGAGAGGAAAGCGGAAUUCCUGGUGUAGCGGUGAAAUGCGUAGAUAUCAGGAAGAACACCAGUGGCGAAGGCGGCUUUCUGGCCUAUCACUGACGCUGAUGCGCGAAAGCCGGGGGAGCGAACA
rnacentral:rRNA from 1 species